rnacentral:rRNA from 1 species
AUUGAACGCUGGCGGCAGGCCUAACACAUGCAAGUCGAACGAGUGGCGGACGGGUGAGUAAUAUCUGGGAAACUGCCUGAUGGAGUGGGUUAACUACUCGAAACGGUAGCUAAUACCGCAUACCAUCAGAUGUGGCCAGAUGGGCUUAGCUAGUUGGUGGGGUAACGGCUCACCAAGGCAACGACCCCUAGCUGGUCUGAGAGGAUGACCAGCCACACUGGAACUGAGACACGGUGCAGACUCCUACGGGCGGCAGCAGUGGAGAAUAUUGCACUAUGGGCGCAAGCCUGAUGCAGCCAUGCCGCGAGUCUGAAGGGGGCCUUCGGGUUGUAAGGUACUUUCCGCGGGGAGGCGUUACCCGCAGAAGAAGCACCGGCUAACUCCGUGCCAGCAGCCGCGGUAAUUC